rnacentral:snRNA from 1 species
GGUGUGAGGGCGAUUGGGCUGUGACAUCCGUCACCCUAUUGAUUGCCAGCAUUGAUUGGACUGAUCUGGCUGGCCAGGUGGGUGUCCCCUUCUUCCUUUGCUACGUGCCAGGUUGAGGAGGACUUGCUCUGAUAGGGAAGGACAGUUUCUUUGGCCAAGGAAUAUUAAUAGUUGCAGUCCCCUGCUAGAACCUUCAAAAAAGCCCUCAAAAGCCUGGUCCUAGCUUGACUUAUACCAUUUUCCUUGGACAAUCUAUUGAAAUA